UUUUCCCUGCCGUGUGCGUCAUGACCAGAGCAGUUGUGAACCAACACUUUUUUAAUGGGAGCCGAUACUUCCCUGACAGCAUAGCUGCCAGGGAGAGGCGCCCACUUGAAAACAGGGUUCAAGCCAACGGUCUGACGGCAUUGUGCGGGGAUUUU
rnacentral:other from 1 species